GGCUAAGUAACAUAACGGUAAUGUAUUGGAUUGCAAAUCCUAGAAUGAUGGUUCAACUCCAUCCUUAGCCU
rnacentral:tRNA from 1 species